rnacentral:lncRNA from 1 species
UCUAAAGUAUAAUGAGCCUACUCUCAUUAUAAUCAAACCUGAUCACAUAACACACAAACAGGGCUGCUAAAUGUCUGUUUGAAUUUACUAUAUUUUAUGCUUUCAUGACACAUAUACCAAAGUAUAUUUAGUGUACUCUUUUCUUCUUAGAGCCUUUGAAUUAAGUUUUUUUCUUUUUUUAAGGAAGAAUUAUGUAGUUUUUGACAUUCAAUGAAGUGAAAGAAUGAAUCAGAGGUCCAGGAUAGAAUGCAUCAUCCAUUGGUUCCGGAUUUAACAUAUAAAAUCCUUACAAGAAGAACUGAAAUGUUCUAAAGGUCUUUUUUCUUGUUUUAGUUAAAAAUGUCUCUUUGGUUAUUAGACAGCACUAAUCAACCAUUCAGAAACAUUUUUUUUAAUCCCAAAUCUUU